UCUCCCCCGCUUCGGCGAUCGCCGCCUCCAUCUCCACCCACCCUGCUGGAGAGCCUUCGCCUCCCCUCCACGCGGACGGGGUGAAAUCGAGCAAAUCCACCCAGCCCCCCGUGUGCAAAUCCCUCCCAAAACCCCUCUUCGCCCCCCAUGCCGCUCGCCACGCUGCUCGCCCACCUCGCGGCCGGCCGCUUCGGCCGCGUGGUGGAGCUCACGGGCGGCGGCGCGUCCACCGCGGCGGCCGCGCACCGCGCCCUGCACCUCCUCCUCCGGACCGCGCCGCUGCCCCCUCUCCCGCACCUCGUCUCCCUCGCGCGGUGGUCGCGGGCCCACUUCCGCGCGCCGCUCCCGCUCCCGCUCCACGCCCUCCUCCUCGCCCGCCUCGCCUCCCGCGGCGGCGGCGGACACUACUCGCUCCUCCGCGCCGAGCUCGACGCCCUCGCGGCCGCGCGUCUCCACUCCCCGGCCUCCAUCCUCCGCGCCCUCCCCGCCUCGUCCCCCUCCGCGCCGCUCAUCGCCGACAUGCUCGUCCUCGCGCUCGCCCGGGACCCCCAGCCGCUGGCCGCAUACGAGGCAUUCCUCCUCGCGGGCGCCGAAUACCCGCGCCACCGCCCCUCGGCCUUCACCGUCAACGCCCUGCUGGCCGCCCUCGUCCGCGCCGACCGGGUCGACCUCGCCGAGAGGGCGUUCAGGGCGGCGCUGCGGCGGCGCGUGUCGCCGGACCUGAUCACCUUCAACACCGUCAUCUCCGGGCUCUGCAAGACCGGUCAGCUCCGCAAGGCCGGCGACGUCGUCAAGGACAUCAGGGGGUGGGGGCUGGCGCCCUCGGUGGUCACGUACAACACUCUCAUCGACGGGUACUUCAAGUCCCGCCGAGCGGGGAAGAUGUACCAUGUUGAUGUGCUGUUGAAAGAGAUGAUCGAUGCCGGCCUUUCUCUGAAUGUGGUUACAUUCAAUGUGCUGAUUAAUGGGUAUUGUAAGGAAUCCAACAUUAUAGCUGCAGUGAAGGUCUUCGAGGAGAUGAAGCAGCACGGGAUUGCCGCGAAUGUAGUGACAUACAGUUCACUUGUUUCCGGGCUCUGCAGUGAGGGGAAGGUGGAGGAAGGCGUGAAGCUGGUGAAAGAGAUGGAGGAUCUGGGGUUGGCAUGCCCUGUGGCUAUCCUGAACUGUGUGCUGAAUGGGUUUUGCAAGAAUGGCAUGAUGGUGGAAGCUGAGGACUGGAUUGGUGGUAUGGCACAGGGUGACAUGAAACCCAAUGUGGUUACUUACAAUGCCUUGGUCCAUGGAUACUGCCAUCUUGGAAAGAUGGAGGAGGCGGUGGCGGUGAAGGAGGCAAUGUCAGGGAAAGGGAUUAGUCCAAAUGUUAGAACAUAUAAUUGCUUGUUAGCAGGGUUUACCAGUAGUAGGGAUUGGAGCAGUGUUUCAGGCCUUCUAGAUGAGAUGAAGGAGAAAGGCGUGAAAGCAGAUGUUGUCACUUAUAAUGUGCUUAUUGGUGCACUUUGUUGCAAAGGUGAGGUCUGGAAAGCAGUAAAGCUCUUGGAUGAGAUGUUAGAAGUUGGUUUGGAGCCAAAACAUCUGACCUACAAUACCAUUAUAAAAGGGUUUUGUGAGAAGGGGAACUUUAAGGCUGCCCAUGAAAUUAGGAGUAGGAUGAACAAAUGUAAGAAACUGGCGAAUGUGGCCACAUACAAUGUGUUUCUCAAGUACUUCUGCAAGAUGGGGAAGAUGGAGGAGGCUAAUGAGCUCCUGAAUGAAAUGUUGGAGAAAGAUCUAGUUCCAAAUAGGGUCACUUAUGAAAUAAUCAAUGCAGGCAUGGUAGAAAAAGGCUUUGUGCCUGAUAUAAGAGGAUUUGCAGCAGAUAUUUCUAAGAGCUUGACAUCUUCCUGAAAGGUAUGUUCUUGCAGUGUAGUAAUAUAGUUUGUUAGAACUUGUUGUAAUGUAGGUGUGACGUGUGACUCUGAUUUCUGCUAGGUCAUGUUUGCCUCGUCUAGGUUUGGGUUUGAUUAUGAUUACUUCUUGAGAUAGGAGUUGCAAUCCUUAUUUCCUUUUUUUUCUCAAAUGUGCAAUCCUUAUUUCUGCUAGGUCAUUUUGCCUUGUUUAGAUUGGAUGUGGAAUUGUGAUUCCCUGUUGGAGCUUGGGAUAGCAAUAUCAAUCCUUAUUUCUGCAGGUCAUGUUUUGCCAUGUCUAGGCUGUAUGUGAUCAUUUCAUUUGUCUGAGGUGUAAUGUGGGAGCAAAUCUGUCCAUUAGGCAGCUCAGUUGCCAAUCAAUCAUCCUCUCCAACGACCAUAUGAAUGCUGAGAACGUGAGGAUUGGAUGCAAGCAUUUCUCCUACUUCAUUUACAGACCUGUGGAUCUGAGAAUGGCAGCCCAGUAUGUCUCCUGGUCACUAUGCUUCUUAGUUACCAGUUUACCACAAGAUUUGCAUUGUUAAGUUUCUAAGAAUAGUGACAUUACAAGUGUAUAACUGCUGCAUCUUGGUUACUGACCUAUUUUGUUUGGUUUACAAGGGACAUGAAUAAUCUGCUGAAAUUAUUCUCAGGUGCUGGGUUAAAGUCUAGAAGAUUGAUCAUGUUUUGAGGACUGGAGAUGAAGGCAUUUAAAAGACCAUCUGCCAUUUCUUUUCACUGGGUACUGCAAAGCUGCAUGUUUAUGUUCAUCAGUAAAGAACAUUUUGCUUAUCAUCGUAUCAAGGCUGGCACACCCCUUUCUGUUGAUUGUUACAAUGUGGGUCAGUCGAUGGCAAUCUCAUGAGAAAAUGGGGUACUGGAGAGUGCCUUGUGGUUAUCAUCAUCAAAAUCCAACUCCUGCGGUUGCUUGAUCAAAUGUCACGUGAUUGAUUAUUCCAUGUUCAAGGCAAUAAUCUUCAUGAGAAAUGGAGCUUUUGACAAUUCCUUUGAGAAAGUUACCACUGGUAUUGCAGUAUCUGUCAUGUAAGUAGACCCAUCCCAGCAGUAUGACGAUUGACGCCUCAUGAAUUAGAUGUUUUGAAGGGUUUAUUCCGACUUCAGCUUCACCUGUUUUGCGCAAAUCGAGGUACUGAAGCGUGAACUCGUUUUGUAAGCCCGUCCUAAAAUGAACUAAAAGCUGGAUGAAGCUAGUUUUUUUGCUUCACCGGCUUUGGCUUCACUAGUGAAGCCGUUUUGAGAGGAAUCCUCCCAAACGGCCCCUCCUAAGCAAGCCCUUUGUACA